GUUGGAAGAAAGCUAUUUUGGAAAAAGAGGGAAGUGAGGGUGCAUGGAACUCAAACAUUUGGUUCCUGAAGGCUGUUCAGAAGCCCUUCCCUGUGGUAUCUGUGUCACGUAGGUGCUUUUGAGGGAUGCCAAUUGGUUUGUUUUCCCGAGACAUAAUGUCACACGGAGAUGAUCAGCAAUCCCAGGCUCUUGCCAAACCUACUUUCAGUGACGUACAAGCCUCUGCAUUGGUGGAAUCGGUAUUUGGGUUAAAAGUUUCCAAGAUCCAGCCACUUCCCAGCUAUGAUGACCAAAACUUUCAUGUGUGCAUUUCGAGUGCCAAAGACACCGCAGAUGAGCCAAUGGAGUACGUCCUUAAGAUAAGCAACACCGAGUCCAGCAGGAGCCCGGAGCUGAUUGAAGUGCAGAGCCACGUCAGCAUGUUCCUGAGAGCUGCUGGCUUCCCCACGGCCUCUGUGCGUCCGACUGCAGGAGGCCACCUCAGCUCUCUCGUGUCCGUAGAUGGCGGCUCUGGAGUCGCAGGCUACCUGCUGAGGCUGCUGUCCUACCUCCCGGGGACGCCUGUGGCCGAGAUCCCCAGCAGCCCCCAGCUGCUGUACGAGGUCGGGAGGCUCGCCGGCAGACUGGAUGAGACCCUGCAGCCCUGCGCCUCGAGGGAGUGUGGGCAGGAUUGCCUGCGUUUCCAGGUGGUCCCUACGCUCUUGGUGCCGCUCCCGGAAGACCGUCUGCAUUUGCGGAGUGAGCCCCACACUGUCCGGCCAGCGAGCGAGCCACGGCCAGAGCCAGAGGCCUGGGCGGACGUGUGUCUACGUGGUGGUGGAAACGGUACUGUGGACGACGAGUGUGCCCUGCAGCUGCCCACAGCAUGUGUGUACGUGCCCCUUGACCGUGCCUGGCUCCGGGAGAAGAGGACGGGCUCCCCUGUCCCAGAGGAGUGUGCUGGGGCGGGGGCAACACGCACGCUAAGAGGUGGUCUGAGCCACGUGAUCUGCAUGAGGAAAACACCUCCAGGACCCCCGCUGAGUCCUGCUCAUGCCACAGGCCACGUGCCUCUGUGGCCCGGUCGCCCUCGCUCCUGCCGUGACUGUUCUCGCUCAUCACAGUUGCCUCCCUGUGGUCAGGCUCCUUCUCCAAUUUCCUCUUUGUGCCCAUUCAGAGUUACUUUCUACAAUUACAAAUCCAACCACGGACCCUGUCAGCGGCUUCUCGCUACUUCGAUGUGGAGGCCAAGGUCCCCGUGUGAGGCCCCGCAUGCCCUGUCCUGCCUGUGUCCCCACAGGGCCUCCGUCCGUCCGUCCGUCCUUCUCUCCAUCACUCCUUGUGGAUCCCCGACGGGCCACUCUGUCUCACACGUCUUCACGUGUGUCUUCGCACAUGCCACUUUCUGAGCUACCGGGACCUUUCCCCGUGCAGCCAGACUCCCACGCAUCCUUCAGCACGUGGCUUGGGCGUCGCCCUCUGGGAAAUGCCCCCUGGACCCCUCCCUUGUUGCUGUGCAUAAACAAUCACUCCCUCUUCUUGCGACUUCUGAACUCCGACCUCCUGUUGCUGGCCUUGCCGAGCAGCAUCCCGGCUACCUAUGCUACGUAACAGACCAUCCCCAAACUGAGCCUUCAGACAUGGAUUUAUUUCUUGUGUCUCUGUGGGUCGGGGUGUGGAUGGGGCCAUGCGUGCAGCCGCACUCAGUGGGGUGCUCGGCCGGGGGCGCUGUGGUUCUCCCCCACGGGGGCUCUCGUCCCCCAGGAUGGCCCCGUGUCCUCACCAUGAGGCAGCUGGUUGCCGAGAGAACAAGACGGGGACAAAAGUGGAGACAGAUGCUGGUCAGAUUAUGAGAUACAUUGUCGUGUAUGACACGAAAGGGUUUAGGGAACUUGGAGGGUUUUUAUUUUUAUUUCCCGGGUUUUUUUUAGUUUAAAUUAAGUUAAUUAAGAUAUGACGUAUUAUUGGCUUCAGAGGUAGAGGUCAGGGAUUCAUCAGUCGCAUGUGACAGCCGCGCUCGUCACCUCAUGUGCCCUCGCCUGGAGGGUCUUCAGACGGGCACAGAUUGCGACGUUGCGGCACUCCGUGGACCAGUGUGGUGGACAGGCUGGCAGAGAGCCGGAGUGGGCGGAGCGCGUCUAGGAAGCGAAGGAAUCAUCAGAGAGAAGCUGACUGAGGGCCGGAACCCAUGAAAGCUUCAAGAUACAUGUUGGAGACGGAGCCGGCCGGAUUUGGUGAUUGAUUUAAAGUUCCGCGAUGGGACACAGAGGGGCUGAGGAAGACGCAGGCUCUAACAUGUGUGCUGGGACCCGGCGCCGUGCACAGGACGGCAGUCACCCCCGACGUUGGUCACAGGGGAGCCCCGUGCCGCGGGGGAAGCUCGCCAGCCUCCGUGGACCUCACGCCGUGCCCCCUCGUGGCUCCCGGGGUCAGCCCGUCGACGGUGUCCUUCCCUGUGGCUGCUGCUUUAGAAGAGUCACCAGAGCCUUAGCGGGAGCUCAGUGAGAGAAGGGCCGGGGCACCCCAGCCAUGAGACGGAGGAGGUUCCUAUGCCCCCGUCCCAGAGCCCCUGGGGCCGAGCAGGAGACUUCCUGUGUGCCUUCUGUCCCCGUGUGCCAUGCAGGCGCGUCUGGUAGGGGAGGUGAGGUCUUGCUGGUUUUCCCAUCUGACAGUCUGUGUCCCUCCUCUGGGAUGUUUGCGUUUAACCUAGUCAUGCCAUGGCCCCCGAACUCUGGCUCGGACGCCCAGGAGCCGGAGCUGCGACGCUCACGCUCGGCAAACCUGUACCGGGCGCCCGUUAGGUGUGACGUCUUUAUUCAUUUUAUUCUUUCCGGUCUUCGUUCGUCAAACGACCGCGCGGCUGGUGUUGACACUCAGGUUUUACCGUGAAGGAAACAGAUCUGCAAUAUUAAGCGGAAGAGCCUGUUGAGACCCUGCUGUGUCGGACCUUGGGGCCGGGUCCUGUCCCGCACCUCCUGCUGGAGCCCGGGCCCUCUCCCAUGGGGUGUGUGGCUGGCAGUGCCCUGUUUUAGGAGCCGGCCCAGAGUCCUCCCCGGGUGGACCAUGGCUCCGUCUAUUGUGCUCUUUACAACGGAAAGGAAGAAGAAUGCCCGGUAAACUUUCCAGUGGUUCCGAACAGGGUCAGCGUUCUUUCUCUCCCGUACCUUGUCCACUCAUACCUGCAGUCCUGUCCCCCAGGGACACAGCUUCUAGCAGCGUUGUCAUGCCGAACGUUCCUGUGACCUGGAGUGGCCCUUGGCACGUCAUGCUGUCAGGAGGGUCAGACCGUGUCCUGUGAGGAUGACUGGGCACUGGCAAGCUUGACUCUGCCAGGAGGACACUCUGGGGGGCAGGACCGCCGUCUGGGACUAUGUGGUGGCCAGUCAGGUGGGAGAUGGCCCCGAUGUCAUCACUGGAACCAGGGCCGGGGACACAGUACAGAGACAGCUCGGCUCAGCGACAGGAAGCCCACAGAGCCGCUCAGGCAUGAAAAGUCGCCCCUGUGAGAGGUGCUCUGACCGAGGCUACUUAGCAAGUCCGUAGUGGUGACAGUGGAGCCUGGUCCAAACUCCAGGCCUCGAGAGUGGAUGGCAAAAUCCACUAAGAGGAAUGUUUCUAAAGAAGUAGAAUAAAAUCCAAAACCCAGCAUACAUCCCAUGGGCUGGUCCACAUGCUGCUGACGGAGGCCUGUGUCCUGGGCUGUCCUGCGACACGGCUGUCUCGCUUGAGAAGUCACGCCCAAUGGACGGAAGGGCCCUCAGCGCCCCUCCGCCCGCGAGUAGUGACUUCCCUCGUUAUCCUGUGUGUCGUGAUGGGCAGAGCUGUUUCGAACUCCAUAUAGAGUGGCCCAAGGCUAACGGCCUUGGCAAUUCUAGAAUUUUCUAUCCCGGGAACAUUCAUUUAUUUGGCAACUGUCGCUGGAGCAGCCUGUUCUUUGAGCCGGGCACCGUGGUAGGUGCGGGAAUGUGGAGCUAGCCGACGGACCAACCCAGAGCACGGCCCUCGCAGGAGCUUCCGUUCCCGUGAGGCUGGAGAGUAAGGCCAGAGGAAAUUCCGUCACCCAAAGUUAAGUCAUCUUCGUCGGGAGAACUUCAUUUGGAAUCUGAAAAACGUCCCUCUUCUGGAGAAGUACCUGGACGCCUUGGGCCAGAGCCGAAACCGGGAGAUUGUCGUACAGGUCAUCCAGCUGUUCAAGGACGAAAUCCUGACCAAACUACAUCACUUCCGAGAGUGUGUCAAUCAUGGAGAUCUUAAUGACCAUAAUAUUUUAGUGGAGCCCAGCAAGUCAGCCUUUGGCGAUGCUGUGUACCACGUGUCUGGCAUUCUGGACUUUGGUGACAUGAGCUAUGGCUACUACG